GUUGACCUAGUUCAAGAACCAGAAGGGGACGAACCAACUGAAUACCCUCCACGAGGUCUCCGGAAUGACUGAGGUGGCCAUGUGAGAAAGUACAAAUUGGAACCUCUCCUUCAUAUGCCAGCGAAACUUAAAAUACCAGUGAAUCUGCUUGAAUGGAUAGAUCAGCAUAUGUUUGGAAGUAAAGAGCCAUGUUUCAAGCACAAGAAUAAAACUAUCAAGAUUAGUAAAGAUAUGGUCAACAAAAUCUUUGAUUUUCCUGGUGGCACCGAGCCUUUUGUAUUCAGUAGCGAUGAUCCCCAAGUGAAGGCAGAGGUUACACAGUUAAGGAACAAAUAUGUGGAUGAUCGGAACAAAAUGCCGAUCAACAAAAUAGAGGAGGUGAUGCUUAGUGACGAGACAGAAGAUGGAUUUAUCAGGAGCUUUGCAUUUUAUUUCCUAUCAUCUAUUUUGUGCCCUGCCUCAUACUGUUUUGGUAACAUGAAGUUCUUAUACUCUCUAAGAGAUGUUUCUGCUAUACCUUCACUUGACUUUGGGCAAUUGGCACUGGAUUUCUUGCGUGAGGAGUCAGAGCGUCAUUUUGAAAUGAUUAUGAACAGACCAAGUAUUGAGGAAAUGAACAAGCCUUCAUAUAUUGGUGGAUGUCUUCCUAUUUGGGGAGUAAGUUCAACCUUCACUUACAAUUUUUUUUAUCUCUCUACUUUUUACUUUACUGACCUGUUUAUUUUUUAA
rnacentral:rRNA from 1 species